UCCUCUCAGUAGCAUUUCAAUGUGCUUGUACCGAAUCUGGGCGGCCGCCCCUAACUGCGUCAACCCUUCCUCAAUUAGCGAUAAAAGAUAGGGCAAAACACUGCCGGUGAUGAAUGCGUCUGUGAACCUUGCCUCUUCGUUUAUAUACUCCUUAUUUCUAACCACGUUGCUGUAAGCUGCUCUUUUGUUAAUAAAGUGGCGAAGCCCACAUCGUAAUGUAGAAGUUAAGUUGCUGUUAAGUUGCACGAUGUUUCACAUCUCGACGAUACUUCUCUGCCCACCUAGUUUAGCCGAAGAAUAGUUAAUGCACUAGAUCCAAUAUUUCACCCAGGAAUAUCAGCCGCUUUUCCUUCCCUGCUAAGAGGUAUAGAAAGUCCAUCAACUACCGCAUUCAUGAUCUGUCAAACCGGGAACGAAAAGGAAAAUGCAAAAAAACGACUGGAAAAUACGUCGCUCACAACCGUUACUUGUGGUUCGCUUCAUAACAGAUUAUAAGACGUAUUAACGAACUAUCCAAGGAACAAUUAUUUAUAUCUAUCGUAAUGUUCACCAAUAUAAUGACUCGUGCAUCAAGUGUCCGCGAUGCGGGCUUAAGAGCCAUAAUGCUCCCGUGAUCAAAGCAGUGUCCAUUUCGAGCAGUCUACAUUUUGGGUCUCCUGGUGCAAUGGCACUGCAUUAGCUGCCUAUCCAUUUUUUAUUUAUUUAGUUCGAUCGUGCACAGCCGCGGUGCCCAAGCAAGAGAGCAGCGUAAAGUGCAAAAAUAGGGCAUCUUGCCAUGUAGCAUCAUUAUUGCAGGGGUGCUAAAUUUAGACAGAUAUUCCAUUGCUGAGUUGUGUCUGGAAGGAAGGUUUUCUGACUUACUUGUCUUGAACAAAUACGAACGCACAACGUGACGACCUUUUCGCCGGAAGAAGCAAAUACUGAUUGCUGCUUGCUGUUGCAAUAAAUGAGUGUGGUAGGAUUUUCGCUGAGUUUCGGUACGAUGUUCCUGCUUCCUGGAGCCAAUGUACUUAGUGUGUGCGUGCGCACACUAAGAUAUUCCGCGAAAGUGCAGGAUUGAUCCUGCAUGGACAAGAGUACUACUGUCAGCUCACUCAGGUGAACCUUGCCCAACUGGGUAAGGCGUUUCGCUGCAGUGAAAUGACUGGGCAUAAUAAAGCCUCGGGUACAUCGAGGACAUAAACUUGGCGGAUUCCCAAGAUUUUUGUCCACGCGAGAGCCAAUAUGGAUAUACAACACCACCGGACAUCCAGAACGGCGUUGUGAAGUGCAACAAAUGCAAAAUAUCAACAAAACUUCAGUUCACUUGAUCCGAUCAUAUUACGAAAACAGUAAAAAGAUAUCUGGUGACCUACGAGGAACCUUUGAUCUGAAGCACCUGGGACACAUGCUUAUUCAACUUCCAGGUGCCCCGUACAAUCAGACGGAAGAUAUAUUGUAUAUGAGUAGAAAGCAAAGAUGUGCAGUGAUUAAGAUAAGGUCCACGCUUCAAGGAAGUCCCGCUACCUACGACCUCCGAGUACGGAACUCCUCCAUUACCCGGGGUCCCAGCCGAGGCUGCAAGAGAAAAUUUAGGAGAUACUCACGUGGAUCACAUGGUACUUACCAAACAACGUGUCAGGAGAUACUACGGAACAUAACCCAACCACUAUCUACUAUUGCAGCUAAAGCGAACCCGCAAAGCCAGCACGCUCGCUAGACUUUGCACCAGCUUUGUGGAGAUGUCUACAAUAAGAGCGCUUGAUGCCUUUUUCAAAUUAUGUUAGCCCCGCACCCCAAGUUUUCAGUUUCACUAAAAGUAAGUAGAUGACAUCAAUGCGUGACAUCCUGAAUUUGCAUAAACGGCUUUCAUCUUUCAAAACGCAGGGAAACAUUAUCGGUGUAUCUCUAAGAAAUAAAGAAUUGGUUACAGGACCAUA